rnacentral:rRNA from 1 species
GACGAACGCUGGCGGCGUGCUUAACACAUGCAAGUCGAACGGAAAGGCCCUGCUUUUGUGGGGUGCUCGAGUGGCGAACGGGUGAGUAACACGUGAGUAACCUGCCCUUGACUUUGGGAUAACUUCAGGAAACCGGGGCUAAUACCGGAUAGGAGCUCCUGCUGCAUGGUGGGGGUUGGAAAGUUUCGGCGGUUGGGGAUGGACUCGCGGCUUAUCAGCUUGUUGGUGGGGUAGUGGCUUACCAAGGCUUUGACGGGUAGCCGGCCUGAGAGGGUGACCGGCCACAUUGGGACUGAGAUACGGCCCAGACUCCUACGGGAGGCAGCAGUGGGGAAUAUUGCACAAUGGGCGGAAGCCUGAUGCAGCAACGCCGCGUGCGGGAUGACGGCCUUCGGGUUGUAAACCGCUUUCGCCUGUGACGAAGCGUGAGUGACGGUAAUGGGGAAAGAAGCACCGGCUAACUACGU